rnacentral:rRNA from 1 species
GUCCAUGCCGUAAACGUUGGGCGCUAGAUGUGGGGACCAUUCCACGGUUUCCGUGUCGCAGCUAACGCAUUAAGCGCCCCGCCUGGGGAGUACGGCCGCAAGGCUAAAACUCAAAGGAAUUGACGGUGGCCCGCACAAGCGGCUGAGCAUGCGGAUUAAUUCGAUGCAACGCGAAGAACCUUACCAAGGCUUGACAUUUACGAGAACGCUGCAGAAAUGUAGAACUCUUUGGACACUCGUAAACAGGUGGUGCAUGGUUGUCGU